rnacentral:rRNA from 1 species
AGUGAACGCUGGCGGUAGGCCUAACACAUGCAAGUCGAACGGCAGCACAGUAAGAGCUUGCUCUUACGGGUGGCGAGUGGCGGACGGGUGAGGAAUACAUCGGAAUCUACUUUUUCGUGGGGGAUAACGUAGGGAAACUUACGCUAAUACCGCAUACGACCUACGGGUGAAAGCAGGGGAUCUUCGGACCUUGCGCGAUUGAAUGAGCCGAUGUCGGAUUAGCUAGUUGGCGGGGUAAAGGCCCACCAAGGCGACGAUCCGUAGCUGGUCUGAGAGGAUGAUAGGCCACCUGGGAACUGAGACACGGUCCAGACUCCUACGGGAGGGAGCAGUGGGGAAUAUUGGACAAUGGGGGCAAGCCUGAUCCAGCCAUACCGCGUGGGUGAAGAAGGCGUUCGGGUUGUAAAGCCCUUUUGUUGGGAAAGAAAAGCAGCAGGUUAAUACCCCGCUGUUCUGACGGUACCCAAAGAAUAAGCACCGGCUAACUUCGUG